GGGUCUAUAGUCUAACGGUAGACAUGCCGAUACGAUGAUGUUUCGAGCAGUUCCCGGUUCGACUCCGGGUAGACCCC